rnacentral:lncRNA from 1 species
GCCAAUAACCAGCUUAUCAUUUCUGAUGACCUGAGGAAUGUCAGUUGCGGGCAUUUCAAACAGAAUAGGAAAGAGCCCGCUGAGAGGUUCAACUCUGCUUUUUGUAUCUGGGCUCCCCUCUGUUCACUUCCAGCCGCCAUGACUGGGCACUGGGAACAUUACCUGGGCACAAGCAAAGACCAGGAUAUGGACCUUUUCGUAGAAUCUGUGAAUCCGCAAGGGAAAAUUCUAUUUUUUUCAGCCCUUGGCUUCUGGACUGGGGGUUUAAGAGAAGGGCAAUACUUUACUGCCAGCACUAUGCCUUUGGUGAGCCCCUAGUUACACCAAGUGGGAUUUUUCCUGACUAUGGAUAUUGGGAUCAUUUCCUUUUGUAAUGUUGGUAAUGGAUCCCAUAUCUUUGCAUUCACUAAAAUAUCUGCUACUGAGCCAGUGCAUCCAUAUUUUGCUCCUGAAGAUACAAUUCAUGAUGAUCAAGGGUACUUGAGUGUCUGUCCUGUGAUUAAU